UUUAAAAAAUGAAUGGAUGAAUAAAACAAAUAUCAUGCAGGAUAUCCUUGUCCACAUUUGGGGCUAAUGCCUUGCAACCUCAAGUAUGCUGUCCACUUCUAAAGUUUUGUUUAUUCCAAACUUUUAUGUAAAUGGAACCUUUGUGAAUUGGCUUUCUGGGUGCAACACACCAAUGAUUUGUCCUGCGAGUGUAUCCCAUACACAUAUAAUAGUUCAUUCCUUUCACUGCAGGGUAGUAAUAAAAAUUUUAUGAAAUGGAUGGAUGUACAAUAUUAUUUCAUCAUUCACUGUUUGAACAAAAUGUAGGAAUAAAGCUCUUAUGAUUAUUUGUAUAUGAUUUGUGUGUAUAACAAUAUAUUUUUCAUUUUUCUUAGAAACAUGCUAAAAAUAUAAUUAAUUGUGUCAUCUGGUAAUUAUAUGUUUAAUUUUACAAGAGACUGUCAGAUUAUUUCCAGAGUUCUGAGCAUAGCACAUUCCUACAAUACUGUAUCAAUAAACUGAUUUCACGACAACCUUGCUGGUGCUUGAUAAUGUCUGUCUCUUAAUAAUUUUCAUUUUGAUAGGUGUGAAGUACUAUCUUACUGGGUUUGGGGUUGCAUUUCCCUAAUAGUUGAAUAUAUUGGAUUAUGUGUCACCUGCAUGGCCUUGUGCAUACCAUUUGCCAAUUUUCAUUUCUUCUUACAUCCUACUUGGAACUUUUUUUAGGACUCUACCUUGAUUUCUUUAUAGUUUCCUUUUGUCUGUUUUCUUAGUUUCUAAAACUUUAUGCAGUUAACCGCUUGCUUCAGGUCAAUCCUGUUUAAGGUGUAGUCCAUUUCUAGAACUUGUAGAUUUAUGUCUUUUACCAAGUUUUCUAGAUAAGUUUUCUCCCCCUUGGGGAGUUUUCUGCCAUUAUAUUUUCAAUUCUCUUUAAGUCUCUUGUGCCUAUCAAACUCAGUGACAAAAUCUUAGAUAUUUUGCUACAGUAAAAUAGAUUUUAUUUCUCUUGUGCAGAUGGAGUAAAUUCGAUCAGUCUGCCCUCAAUUUAUUGUCCUCCUCUUUUGUUAAAGUUUACUCUAUUAUUGAGUCUAUCCAAUGAGUAUUUUUAUACUUGACAUUGUAUUUUCCAAUUUGACCCUUUCUGGCUGGGUGGGUGGAUGGGUGGUUGAUUGAUUGCUAAGCUUCUAUUUCUUUGAUGAGGCUUUCUACUUUGACAUCUGUUUCAAACAAUCUGUAAUUGAUUGUGGUAACAAUUUUACAGUGGCUGUCUUAUACUCCUCAGAAAAUUCUAAUAUCUGAAUUUCCUUGGAAUUGGAAUCUGUAGCCCUUCCUUUCUCACUCAGGCUGUGGUUUUCCUGGCUGUUGGUCUGAUGAGCAGUUUCCAUUUGUAUCUGAAUCUUUCAUCAAUUAUAUUAGGAAAUGAUGCUUCCUACUUAAACCUUUGCUUUUAGUUAACCAUCCCUAGUUUCAAUCUGUUAUAUGAGUCUUUGUCUACCAUUGUGGGCUCAGAUUCUAGCAAUAGUCAGUCAUUCAGGUCCUUCCCUUGUCAUUUGAAUCUUCUUGGUUUACCAGAUGGUGCUGAGACUCCUACAGAUAACUGAGUCUGAAGAGGCAGAGAUAUUUUCUUCAGUCUGGCCCUUUUGUGUCUUUGUGUCUCUUAGCAGAUGCUCAAUAAAAUUGUGCUGGAAAAAUGAAUAAACCGUGGGAUGCCUGUUCAUGGCAAGAGUAGAGAAACAUCCAGUUUAUGAGCCAUGUAAAGUGGGUGAAAUCAUUUGGUACAUGAUGAGGCAGGCACACAAUGCCUUUCAUCCACUUUAUGCAGCUUUUCUGGCUAUACUGAUCAUUUUAUAUGGCCCUGGAGUAUAAUAAUAAAUAUCCAAGUGGCUCUUGUCAGAGAAAAGGUUGCCACCUUUCCAGGUCUCACUUACUACCCUUAGAAUGGUCACAUCAAGCUGCUUCUUGAGAAGGAACACACCUGAAAAAUCAAUAGCCCUAGAACAUAAAAAGGCAGUAACAGAUGGGGUAGUUCCCAGCCAAGUCAACAUAGGGAGGGGGAGAGAGUUAGUUUAGUUCCUCUGACUAGUCCUCGCAAAAGAGAUGAUGAAGAAAGGACAACUUUAUGACUUGGUGGGGUGAAGCAGGUGGUAUGGACUUUAUAUUGAUAGGCACAUCAUUUCUAAAUGAAUAAUAAUUAUUUAUAUGAA